UGUUCCGUACUGUAGCGGUUAACGACCUGGACUUUGAAUCCAGUAUCGCGAGUUCGAAUCUCGCCGGAUCCU
rnacentral:tRNA from 1 species